UACAUGCAGUCGACGAGAAGUAUCCUUCGGGAUACGAGUACAGUGGCGCACGGGGAGUAACGCGUAGGCAACCUACCCUCGAGUGGGGAAUAACCAUCGGAAACGGUGGCUAAUACCGCAUGCUGCCGUGCAUCGCAUGGUGCACGAUGAAAGUCUUCGGAUGCUUGAGGAUGGGCCUGCGUCGGAUUAGUUUGUAGGUAGGGUAACGGCCUACCUAGGCAGCGAUCCGUAGCUGGUCUGAGAGGACGAUCAGCCACACUGGCACUGAGACACGGGCCAGACUUCUACGGAAGGCAGCAGUAGGGAAUAUUGGGCAAUGGGCGAAAGCCUGACCCAGCCACGCCGCGUGGAGGAAGACACCCCUAUGGGGCGUAAACUCCUUUUAUACGGGAAGAACCCCUCCCUCAGGGAGCCUGACGGUACCGUAUGAAUAAGCACCGGCUAACUCCGUGCCAGCAGCCGCGGUAAUACGGAGGGUGCAAGCGUUGUCCGGAUUCACUGGGUGUAAAGGGUGUGUAGGCGGGGCGGUAUGUCAGAGGUGAAAGCCCACGGCUUAACCGUGGAAUUGCCUUUGAAACUGCCGUUCUUGAGUCUCGGAGAGGUCGCUGGAAUUCGUGGUGUAGCGGUGAAAUGCGUAGAUAUCACGAGGAACACCAGAGGCGUACGCGGGCGACUGGACGAGUACUGACGCUGAGCACGAAAGCGUGGGGAGCAAACAGGAUUAGAUACCCUGGUAGUCCACGCCGUAAACGAUGGAUGCUCGGUGUUGGCCCUCAUUGUGGGGUCAGCGCCCAAGCUAACGCGUUAAGCAUCCCACUGGGG
rnacentral:rRNA from 1 species